AUAUUCCAUGGUCUUCCCAGGAACAGAACAUCUGGUAGAUCACUGCCUGUUUGAGGAGCUGCCUAUUCAGAAAGCAACUUUCUGCUGCAAUGUUGUGAAACUCCAGGAAAAUACUUGCCACAUAUAGUACAGAAGUGAACUCCACACCAAAUCAAGUGGAAGAGCCUUGCAGAGCCCAAUUUGCAGGAAGGGAGUCAGACAAUCUUUCAGCCAUACUCAUACUCUCCCCCUGCUCCAUGCAUGAACAACCAUGCAGGGUCUGAAUUUCUAUUUGCCUGCAGACACAUUGCUUGUCUCGUGGCUUUGGUGGCUCAGCUUUCCUUUGAUUCAGACCCACAUUUUUUCCUCAUUUCUUGCUCCUGGGAAGAACAUUGAUGCCUAUCGGGGGAAGCACCCUGUGUUAGUCACUGUUAGUCUGACAUUAAAAUCACCGACAGUUUAGAAGACUUGUUUGUCUUUCUUAAAAUAACUGUUUAUCUCAUCAUAAGUGCUACCUUGGUCCAAUAGUGCA